UAACACGUAUGCAACCUGACCUGUAAGCGGGGAAUAACCCGUUGAAAGACGGACUAAUACCGCAUAAUACUAAAUUACUGCAUGGUAAUUUAUUUAAACGUUUAUGGCUUACAGAUGGGCAUGCGCAUGAUUAGCUAGUUGGAGAGGUAACGGCUCCCCAAGGCAACGAUCAUUAGGGGUUCUGAGAGGAAGGUCCCCACACUGGUACUGAGACACGGACCAGACUCCUACGGGAGGCAGCAGUGAGGAAUAUUGGUCAAUGGACGAGAGUCUGAACCAGCCAAGUCGCGUGCAGGAAGAAUGUCCUAUGGAUUGUAAACUGCUUUUGCAGGGGAAUAAAGUGCAUCACGUGUGAUGUUUUGUAUGUACUCUGCGAAUAAGGAUCGGCUAACUCCGUGCCAGCAGCAGC
rnacentral:rRNA from 1 species